rnacentral:lncRNA from 1 species
UGUGUACUCAGACACUGCCUGUCAGGCCAAGUGACUUGUCAAAUCAAAGCCUUCUUGAGCAUGCAGCUCUCCCUCUUCCUUUCUCAAAGGGAAGAGUUCCUUCUCAAAGAGCUCUUUCCCCAGUCCCUGCAUUUCCAGGAUCACAAAGCAGACAUCACGUGAAGCAGUUGAGCAACAACAGAGUCAUACUCCCACAGCCUGCACAAGUGUUGAGGCCAGUCAUGCUGCAGCUCUGCCAUUUGCCACUUUUAAACACCAGUAUCUUUUGUAAUCUCCUGAGACAGGAACAAAGGCAAGAGGGAAAACUAAUUAGAGUCCUGCAAGACCGUCCUUUGCCUAUGUGAGACAGCUUAUCUCCAAGUAGUUGCAUUUAUGUAUAAAUAAUCAAAAC